rnacentral:rRNA from 1 species
UACGUAGGUGGCAAGCGUUGUCCGGAAUUAUUGGGCGUAAAGCGCGCGCAGGUGGUUUCUUAAGUCUGAUGUGAAAGCCCACGGCUCAACCGUGGAGGGUCAUUGGAAACUGGGGAACUUGAGUGCAGGAGAGAAGAGUGGAAUUCCACGUGUAGCGGUGAAAUGCGUAGAGAUGUGGAGGAACACCAGUGGCGAAGGCGACUCUUUGGCCUGUAACUGACACUUGAGGCGGCGAAAGCGU